GAUGAAGAACGCAGCGAAAUGCGAUACUUGGUGUGAAUUGCAGAAUCCCGUGAACCAUCGAGUCUUUGAACGCAAGUUGCGCCCGAAGCCAUUAGGCCGAGGGCACGCCUGCCUGGGCGUCACACGUCGUUGCCCCCCCAUCUACUCCUUCGGGAUUGCGGGGGGCGGAUGAUGGCCUCUCGUGCGCCUCGUCGCGCGGUUGGCCUAAAUGCCAAGUCCUCGGCGACGCACGCCACGACAAUCGGUGGUUGCGAAACCUCGGUUGCCUGUCGUGUGUGGUCGUCGCGCAUCGAGGGCUCGAAAAAAUUGCCGGGCUUCGGCUCGACUUUCAACGCGACCCCAGGUCAGGUGGGGUUACCCGCUGAAUUUAAGCAUAUCAAUAAGCGGAGGA
rnacentral:misc_RNA from 1 species